rnacentral:rRNA from 1 species
AGGCGGCUUUUUAAGUCGGAUGUGAAAUCCCUGAGCUUAACUUAGGAAUUGCAUUCGAUACUGGAAAGCUAGAGUAUGGGAGAGGAUGGUAGAAUUCCAGGUGUAGCGGUGAAAUGCGUAGAGAUCUGGAGGAAUACCGAUGGCGAAGGCAGCCAUCUGGCCUAAUACUGACGCUGAGGUACGAAAGCAUGGGGAGCAAACAGGAUUAGAUACCCUGGUAGUCCAUGCCGUAAACGAUGUCUACUAGCCGUUGGGGCCUUUGAGGCUUUAGUGGCGCAGCUAACGCGAUAAGUAGACCGCCUGGGGAGUACGGUCGCAAGACUAAAACUCAAAUGAAUUGACGGGGGCCCGCACAAGCGGUGGAGCAUGGGGUUUAAUUCGAUGCAACGCGAAGAACCUUACCUGGCCUUGACAUACUAAGAACUUUCCAGAGAUGGAUUGGUGCCUUCGGGAACUUAGAUACAGGUGCUGCAUGGCUGUCGUCAGCUCGUGUCGUGAGAUGUUGGGUUAAGUCCCGCAACGAGCGCAACCCUUUUCCUUAUUUGCCAGCGGGUAAUGCCGGGAACUUUAAGGAUACUGCCAGUGACAAACUGGAGGAAGGCGGGGACGACGUCAAGUCAUCAUGGCCCUUACGGCCAGGGCUACACACGUGCUACAAUGGUCGGUACAAAGGGUUGCUACCUCGCGAGAGGAUGCUAAUCUCAAAAAGCCGAUCGUAGUCCGGAUCGCAGUCUGCAACUCGACUGCGUGAAGUCGGAAUCGCUA